AUUCUUUUUCUGGUAUAGUUUUCAUUAAAAUGUUUUAUAUUCAAUGAUUUGAUCAUUUCAUUUCUUGUAUUUUUCUUACAAAACGAAGGAAAGAAUGUAAUAUUGAAAAUCUGCUAUUUGAAAAAUGCCGCCAAGUUUGCAGCAGAAGUAGCAUAUCACAGCGUAUGUUACAUCGGCCAAUCAGCAGCGUUGAUUCAUGUGACAGCUCGCCGCUCGCCAUUAUGCGUCGUUCUCUAUCGCACUCUACCGCUGGAAAUUUUCAGACGUACGUAUUAUCAGCUCUGUAAAUUUAAUUUUUUAUACGUCGUAUUAUAUUUUGCGUACUCCGAUCGUUAAAAAGUGUCAACGUUAACAUAUUACUAUGCGAAUAAUCAUAAUUAAGAACUAUGUGCUCCGCUGUGAGGUUGGCGUCACUUUGGCUUCGACUACAUCAGAGAAUGAAAUUUUUAUCCUGGCUGCUACAAGGGUAUUAUUUAGUGGCCGCGCGCAAUGCGGUCAGUAGAAUCAGUGUUUGCUCCGAUUUUCAAUUUUUAUUUGAAACAUAUCUUUUUCUAAUUCACUAUUUCUAACUCUUGAUAUAUUUAAUUGCGAAGUUACACUUAAUUUUGAUUAGUGUCGUGAUUAGAAUGAAGUCUCGCAUGAAGAAUAAAAAAUAGAAGAGCCACGUGAUACUCGUCGAGAGUUCAGUUUUUCAUCUUUAUUCUUCUUUUCUGAUUGGCUGGUGGUUGAUUUCUAUGGCAUUCCUCCACUUUUGGUAGCUGGUACCUGGCAUCACAACUUUUGGUCCCUGGUACCUGGCAGCCCACGAUUUUUUAGCCAGAAGUGGACAGAACAUUGAUAAAGGUUCUUAUCGCAGUGAGUCACACUUUUAAAUUCCUCCAGUCACACCAUAAUGCCUGGACGAAAGGUCUGGAAUAGCAUGGGUGACUGGUUGUAUUUUAUAUUUGUUUGACGAGCAUAAUGACCCUGAGCAUUUAAAUAUUAUUAUAAAUGCUCCGGAAUAUUAAAAAUUUUAUAUUGUAUCAUGUGAUGUAUCAGCUCAGGUCAGGGCUUCUUGUACUCGCGAUAUAUAUCAUAUUAAUGAGCACGAUAUUGAGUACAAAUAUUAUUGAGAAACAUAAGUAUUUUUCAAUGUAGUUAGUAAGAACUUAUAGUCUAAGAGCUGGUUACAUAAACUGAGCUUGUCAUCGCUACAUGGCUGAUUUCUAUUGUAAAAUUGUUGUACACACAUGCAAAAUAUACAUGCAUUGAUUGAAUGUUAUAAAAAUUGCGACUAAA